CGAAUCAGAAAGGGUUUUCAUGGCGUGGCAAAAGCGGACAGAGAGCGUAAUGAACCAUUCGAAGGCUCAAGGCGUACGGGGACGGGCCAGGGUCGCGCAGAUGUUGGUGCUCGCGUGCCUGACCAGUGGGCUGGGGGCGUGCACGAUCGCCAAGGAUCUGGGGGACUACCUGAAUCUGCGGAACAGCUUGCUGAAUCCCUCGGAGGUGGGGCAGUUUGAUAAGCGCAACCCGUUUGGGACGGUGCGCCCGGUGACCUGGCCGAUUCUGGAACAGCUGGAUGUGAUUGAUGAACGGGUGGACCAUUGGGCGGAUGCAUCGGAUCCGUUGCCCAGCGAUCUGGUGACCGAGAAUCGCGAAUAUCGUAUCGGGCCCGGGGAUGCGAU
rnacentral:misc_RNA from 1 species